UACGGAGGGUGCAAGCGUUGUCCGGAUUUAUUGGGUUUAAAGGGUGCGUAGGCGGCUGUUUAAGUCAGUGGUGAAAGACUCCGGCUCAACCGGAGCAGUGCCAUUGAUACUGGAUAGCUUGAGUAUUGGAGGGGUACAUGGAAUUGAUGGUGUAGCGGUGAAAUGCAUAGAUACCAUCAGGAACACCGAUAGCGAAGGCAUUGUACUGGCCAAUAACUGACGCUGAUGCACGAAAGCAUGGGUAGCGAACAGG
rnacentral:rRNA from 1 species